GAGAUAGGGGGCCACGCCCCUGGACCUCCCACCCGUGUUUACCGACCAUUCUGUUGCUUCGGCGGGCCUGCGUCCGGGCCGUCCCGGUGCCUGCCUCUGCGAAGCCCGCCGAAAGCCCCUAUCAACCCGUUUACCGUGAUGUCCGAGGAUACAACAUAAUAAUCAAAACUUUCAACAACGGAUCUCUUGGUUCU
rnacentral:misc_RNA from 1 species